rnacentral:snRNA from 1 species
AUUUCACUCACGAACACGAAUU